UACGGAGGGUGCAAGCGUUAUCCGGAUUCACUGGGUUUAAAGGGUGCGUACGCGGGUAGGUAAGUCAGUGGUGAAAUCCUGGAGCUCAACUCCAGAACUGCCAUUGAUACUAUCUAUCUUGAAUAUUGUGGAGGUAAGCGGAAUAUGUCAUGUAGCGGUGAAGUGCUUAGAUAUGACAUAGAACACCCAUUGCGAAGGCAGCUUACUACGCAUAUAUUGACGCUGAGGUACGAAAGCGUGGGGAUCAAACAGGAUUAGAUACCCUGGUAGUCCACGCCCUAAACUAUGGAUACUCGACAUAUGCGAUACACUGUAUGUGUCUGAGCGAAAG
rnacentral:rRNA from 1 species